CUCCGCUCACUCUCCACAGGGCACCGGGCGAUGCCGGGGACAGGGAGGGGGACAGCCUGCGGGUGCGGCAAGUGUCCCCCCCUGCUCGCUCAGGAGACAAGCCACCACAGGGCUCUGCAAGGGGGGAGCCAGUGGGGGCUCCAAGACACGCCUGGUCCCCUCUCUGACCCCAGCACCAGGAGCCAAACCAACAGUCCCCCCAAGCCCCAUCUCCCAUUUUGGGGGAUACCCAGGGCUACAGGCGCAGUGGGUCCCUGUUGUCCCCAUGGCAUGGAGCCACCAGCCCCCAGGGUUCAAUCCUGGCUCCCCAGUGUUGAGCCUGCAGGCAGGGAUGCCAAACUGACCUCAUCACUGGUGCCCGGGGGCUCUCGCUGCUCCGGGGGGACAAAGCACCCUUCCCCAGCCCACCCUGCAACCCCUUCGUGCCCCCCGAACCGCUCUCCACCUUGGUGGCCAAAACGUGGGAGGAAUAAGGAAAACAGCAGCACCUUGGUGAGCCCAGCGCCCGUGGACGCCCAACGCGCGCAAGGGCUGUGGGUGGGCAGCAUCCCCCUGCCCUGCCUCCCCCCACACUGCCUGUCCCCAUUCCCGCUCGAGGGGGUCCCGCGCCACAUUCCUGCCGUGCUGGAGGCCAAGGAAAGGCACGUGCGGCCGCGCCGGGGAAAUGCCGGGCAUUGCUGGGAUUGCAGCCCGCAGCCUUGGGGGCCGGCAGCCCCGCUCACCACGGCCCCCUCCUCUCCUUUGCCCCUCUCCACCCCAUCAGCAGGACCAGCCCACCGGUACGAUGCCACGCACCCCAUUCCUGCAGCCACCAGCCAAGCUGGCACCGGACACCAGUAAGGUGCAAUGCCCCGUGGACUCCCAGCAUGCCGGCAGCGCUUCGGCGUUCAGCACACCCCCAGCGUCUACCCGGCCAAAGUGCCACGGCUCUGCCCCAAAACAGCCCCAGCGCCUGCCCUGAGCCCCGAUGACGGGCUGGCUUGACUUGGCUUGGUGGCAGCCACGUCCCCAGGGACCCAGCUGCACAUCCCCAGCGCAAUUCAUGGCACCGUCCCGGUGCCCCCGCACCGGCAGCCCAGGGAGAAAUUG
rnacentral:lncRNA from 1 species